CAUCCUCUCCUUGGCUCCGCUCCCUGAAGCCGUGAUCGAAGCCGCCAUCAACGCCCUCCACCCCCUCCGCUCAGGUCCCCUUCCGCGGCAGCGGCAGCCGGCAUUUCCAGCCCCUAAAAUCCUAUUUCCCUCUCCCACACCACGCGCCGCGCCCGUCUGAUUCCGCCCGCCAGCCACGCCCGCAGAUCUCGCUUCGGCGCCCUGAUUCCGUCGUAUGCAAGGUCACAGCCCUGCCUUCCAUCGUCGCCCCCAUGCCACGCUCCCCUUCCAUCCUCGCUCACUUCCAGCCGCCCCCAUUCCCAGUUGAAGGAGUCGUCCAGGAACCGGGAACCCCAUCACCGGAUCAGGAGCAGCUGUGUCGCGAGCAUGGUCGUUGCUGAGCUCCCGAUGACCGCCCGAUGGUGUCGGACCCCGCACCGCCGUCGGCACCGAGCGUACUCGCUGCCGUCGACCCACCUCCCCGGAGAGGACAUCCUCUUCUGCAUCGACGUCGACCUCGAGGUCCACGCCAAGAUGAAGUCCGCUGCCGUGGCGUCCUCGGAUCCACGUCCACCGCGUCGCCGCAGUCCGUAGGAGCUGAUGGUGCCCCGACGGUGGGGAGCAUCGAGCCAUGGCUCAAGUGCAAGGAUCAGCCCCCGCAGCAGGGCAAGGAGAUCCCGCAGACCAAGGCCGACCGGGCCAAGCUCGAUGGCAUGUACAAGUGCAUCCUCUGUGCCUGCUGCUCCACCUCCUGCCCGUCCUACUGGUGGAACCCGGAGGAGUACCUCGGCCCAGCCACGCUGUUCCACGCCAACAGGUGAACAGGGCUUCAGCAGGGAUGCUGGUUUAGCAAUGGAGGCGAUCCAUUCCUUGUCUGCUUCAAAAUCAAGUUAUCCAAUGGUAAAAUAUACAGACUGUGGAGUUAGUCCUCAGGAUCUACAUCAUGUAUUCACAAAGUUUGCUCAUCGUCAAAGUGGAGGAAACCGAGGGUUUAAUGGUAGUGGUCUUGGCCUUGCCAUAUGCAAGAGGUAAACGAGAGCCCUGGAAAUAACAGGAAUUAAUUCAGGAAAGUACACGAGCAAGCACCCGAGGUCAAUGAGCUUACCUCCAUUGACAAUGGAGAUAGGAAGGAAUAUCAUGAAGAGAAAUGAAAGCUGAUUGCAGGAGAGAUUAAAAUCAAAGGGAUUGAGCUACAGGAGAGUUGCAGUCUGUCGUUCUUUUCCAUGGUAGAAGGCAUUUUCAUUGGGUUCAUACAUUUAUUCUCUGUCGAUGUUUACAAGAAAAUAGUAUCUAAAAACAAGAUGUCUCUGUUCCAUGAGGGUGUGAUUGAGACUGAAACGAUGGGUACCAGAGUGAAGGAGUCGAAGACAGUUUUAGUAGAGAAAGAGCUCGAACUGAUCGACGAGCCUCAGAUUCAAGAGAGCCCUCCAGUUCGUGCAUUGUUGCAUGAUGAGGUGGAUUUUGCUGAAUCGUCACUUGCUAUUAGAGAAUCUGACAUUCCCGUGAAGAAGGUGCUGAUAAUCGUGACAAUCACUUUUGUUUGGCCACAACAGCCAUAUUACUUGAAGCCCAUGUUUUGAAAGCUGUAUUGGCACUUCUUCUAUGGAGUCACUACUUAUAGAAAAAGCUUGUUCCUAGAGGUGCAAGAUAGGCUGCUGGUCGAUUCCAUCCUGAACAAGUUGCGCCAAAGAUUACAUGAAUAUUGCGUGCCGAGAUCUGUCUUCAGUAAUGCGAUGCCAUCCUGAACAAGUUGCAGCGACAAUUAGGAUAGGAUUUUCCCACGCUUUUUAGUCUUGUGUAUUCCUUUUAUGCUCUUCAUCUUUUUUUUCUCAUUAUAUCCACCAAUUAGAUAGUCAUGUAGACUUUCUUUUAGGCGCUUUUGUUUUUUAUACUUUGUGUUACCUUGCUUUUGUUUUUCAUAUUUUGUGUUACCUUACAGAUGUAAAAACGCUCCCCUCCCGUACAUUGCACUAUUUAUGAGGAAAGGUAAAAUAGCGUC